rnacentral:ncRNA from 1 species
CACACUGGUGGAAUCACAGGUGUCCUGCCGCUGCCUCAGUGCGCAGGGUGAAACGGGAAGCCGGUCCGGGUGCCACCACCCCAAUCCGGCGCUGCCCCCGCAACGGUAGGCGAGAACACCCGGCGACACGCCACUGCGCAGAUGCGCGGGAAGGCGCCGGGGUGGGGCCUUGGCCCCGCUCGCAAGCCCGGAGACCGGCCUGUGUCGGCGCGUAUGC